rfam:Loxodonta africana unplaced genomic scaffold scaffold_24, whole genome shotgun sequence.
GCAGUGGUGGUUCAGUGGUAGAAUUCUGCCUUCCAAAUGGGAGACCCAGGUUAGAUUUCUGGCCAAUGGA